rnacentral:rRNA from 1 species
CAGUAGCCGCGGGAAUACGUAGGGUGCGAGCGUUAAUCGGAAUUACUGGGCGUAAAGCGUGCGCAGGCGGUUGUGUAAGACAGGUGUGAAAUCCCCGGGCUUAACCUGGGAACUGCGCUUGUGACUGCACGGCUAGAGUAUGGCAGAGGGGGGUGGAAUUCCACGUGUAGCAGUGAAAUGCGUAGAGAUGUGGAGGAACACCGAUGGCGAAGGCAGCCCCCUGGGCCAAUACUGACGCUCAUGCACGAAAGCGUGGGGAGCAAACAGGAUUAGAUACCCCCGUAGUCCCUGUCUCUUAUAC